UACGUAGGGCGCGAGCGUUGUCCGGAAUUAUUGGGCGUAAAGAGCUCGUAGGCGGUCUGUCGCGUCGGAUGUGAAAGCCCGGGGCUUAACCCCGGGUCUGCAUUCGAUACGGGCAGACUAGAGUGUGGUAGGGGAGAUCGGAAUUCCUGGUGUAGCGGUGAAAUGCGCAGAUAUCAGGAGGAACACCAGUAGGCGAAGGCG
rnacentral:rRNA from 1 species